rnacentral:misc_RNA from 1 species
UUUCAUAAGUUAAGCCAAAUACCCUCUAAAUAAAAUAUAAACAUUAGUACAGCGAAUAAAUAACUACAUUUUUAUUUACAUACUCAAAAACUUAAUUUCAGUUCACUAAUGCUACGAAUUAAAUGCAAGUUUCUAAGAACAACAAAAGACAGACAAGCAAAUGAGAAAAACAAGUCGCACACCCCAGUCCCAAGCAUCUAACUAUGAGCAUCAACAGAUUUAUUAGUUAUGAGAUCUGGUGAAAGUGGUGAUAGGAUACUCUUCAGUAAUACAACCUCACUGUAAUGUGGAGGUGAUGUCAGUGGUUCAGGCAUUAUCAUAGUUUUCCUUUAGAAAAUGUGACUCUUCUUGUGGGCUGUCAAUUCUCUUUAGUUCCUCCAACACCUCAUCCAUAGUAGGUCUCAAUUCACUAUCUUGCUGCAAACACAGAAAAGCUAAUUCUGCAACACUGGUUGUCAUUCUUUUAACUUCCUCAUCUGACUGAUACCCAAGACAGGGGUCAAUCAACUCAUCAAAAGCAGAUCUUUGGAUCUUGCUUACUGCUAACUUAGCCAAAUUAAUCUCACCCCGCUGUCUAGUUAUGUCAACAGCAGGCAUGGAUGAUAAGAGUUCAACAAGGACAACACCAAAGCUA